rnacentral:rRNA from 1 species
UGGGGAAUUUUGCACAAUGGGGGAAACCCUGAUGCAGCGACGCCGCGUGAUUUAGAAGGCCUUCGGGUUGUAAAAAUCUUUUUUACGGGAUGAAAAUGACAGUACCGUAAGAAUAAGGUCCGGCUAAAUACGUGCCAGCAGCCGCGGUAAUACGUAUGGACCGAGCGUUGUCCGGAAUCAUUGGGCGUAAAGGGUACGUAGGCGGCCUAGUAAGUUAGAAGUUAAAGAAUAUAGCUCAACUAUAUAAAGCUUUUAAAACUGCUAGGCUUGAGAGAUGGAAGGGAAAGUGGAAUUCCUAGUGUAACGGUGAAAUGCGCAGAUAUUAGGAAGAAUACCGGUGGCGAAGGCGACUUUCUGGUCAUCAUCUGACGCUGAGGUACGAAAGCGUGGGUAGCAAACAGG